CACUUCCCAGAAUCCCCUAGAGAUGCACUCUGGGAAAUGUAGUUCUGUUUUCAUGCUAGCUGUAAUUGUAAACAUGAUUUUGCCUCACUCCCCAGAAUCCACCUAGAGAUGCACUCUGGGAAACGUAGUUCUAUCUUCAUGCUAACUAGUUGUAAGCAUGCUUUUGCGUCACUCCUCAGAAUCCACCUAGAGAUGCACUCUGGGAAUUGCUUAAUCCACAAUUGUGCCUGCUACCCACUCCAACUGCAAAGUUAACCAUGAUUGUCAAAAGCAUGAUCUAAGAUCUUCAAAAUUCAUUAUCUGGAAAACUGUGUCUUUGGAGACUAUAAACUAGCAUUAGAUUCAAUUUUGAAUAACAAAAAGAUAGUCAAACCCAUCCUAAUACACAGCAUAUUUGUUGUGGGGGAGGGAAGGAGUGUUGAGGCAGGAAAUCAGAUAACUUUCAACCUUUCUGUAUCUUUAUUUCUGUCUCUGUCUACCCACUUUAGAACUAGCUGUAACAUUUCAUGAAAUUCUGCAAUUUAAAAGGACCUGACUGUGUCUAGAUGUGUGGCAGCUUAUGUUAAAAUGCAUCCCUUGAUCAACCAAGGUAGGAUUCCAUCUGUCCGAAAGCAGUCCUCCAGCAGAACUACUUUGGUUCUGCUCUUUUCUCUACUUACUACUAAAGUUCCUUGCUUAUAGAUGACAGUUUUGAAGUCCCUUCAUUUACAAUGUAUUUAAUGAAUACCAAAUGUACCUAGGACUAUUAUUAGGAUCAGAUACAGCAGGGGAAAAAGACAUGAAAACUUCUGUCCUCCUGGAACUUACAUUCUAAAGGAAGAAACAAACAAGUAUAUAUACAAUGUGUCAGGUGGUUAUAAGCGCUAAGGAGAAAAAUAAAGCAAGAUAAGAGGAGGGAGGAUUUUGCUAUUUUUUAUAGGAUGGCGAUGGCGGUGGCGAGCCUCAUUUGAGCAAAGAUAGUGAAGGAGUUGAGGAAGGAAGCCAGGUGGAAAUCUGUGAGAAGAGAUCUGUGGAUAGAAAAAAUCAGCAGAUGCAAAGAUCCUGGGGAGGAAGUGUAACUGGCAGAUCCAAGGAAAGCCCAAGACAAAGCAUGAUGGUCAGAGAUGAGGUCAAAGAGUAGCCAAGUACCAAAUCACGUAGGGCUUCACAAGUCUUAACAAUUUUUGUAGAGCCAUUGUAAUGCUUUCAGUUUUUACUCUGGGUUGGAUGGGAUGUUACAGAAAAAUUUGAGCAAGAUCUCAAUUGAGUGAGAUGAUCUGACUUACAUUUUAAAGGAAUUACUCUGUGUGUGGAGAUUAGACUGUAGGGGAUAAGAGUUAUUAAAUCCUGAAUGUCAUUGUUAAUGUGUAACUCAGUUACAUGGGAAGCAAGAAUGGUAACUGGUUGACCAGCCGUUUCUUUUGGACCUUUUCAUUAAUACAUGAACGCAAGGUUUUUAUCAGGCUGAUUCAUUGUCCUUAAGGAAGGCACAGAAAAUUUGAAGGAUAUAAGAUUAUAAAGUCAAUAAGUUCCAAAGAGAUGGGGAAGCACGCUUAGGGAAACUUAGGGAUCUAAUAAUUUUUUAUUUUGUAAAGUUUAUUUAUUUUGAGAGUGUGAGUGCACAUGUGUGAGUAUGUGAGCAUGUGAGAUGGGAAGGGGCAGAGAGAGGUGGGGGCAGAGAGAGAAUCCCAAGCCGGCUCCAUGCUGUCAGCAAGGAGCCCAACAGGGGGCUUGAUCUAACAAGUGAGAUCAUGACCUGAGCUGAAAUCAAGAGUCCAUUGCUUAACUGAGUGAGCCCCUCUAAUAAUUUUUUAAAAAUCAAAAUAACUAUAUUUUUGAGCAAUUAAGUGUUAAGUGCUACAUAAGAAAAAUAGUGCUAUGGUCUGAAUGUGUUCCCUCAAAAUUCAUGUUGAAAUAAUAAUACCCAAUGUAAUACUAUUACAAGGUGAGAUCUUUGGGAGAUGAUGAUUGGGUCAUGAGAGUGGAGCUUUCAUGAAUGGGAUUAAUGCCCUUAUAAAAGAGGCCCAAGAGCACUCCCUUGCUCCUUCCACCAUGUGAGAAGUCAGCAGUCUGCAACUUAGAGGAGGGCCUUCACCAGAGCCCAACCAUGCUGGCACCCUGAUCUUGGACUUCCAAGUUCCAGAAUUGUGGGAAAUAAAUUUCUGUUGUUUAUAAGCUACCCAGUCUGUGGAAUUUUGUUGUAGCAGACCAAAUGGACUAAGACACAUAGUCAAGAUUAACUGGGCAUUUACUGUGUUCCAGGUACCAUGUAAAGUGUUUCAUAUAUUAUCAUUAAUCCUCACAGUCUAUGAGAUAUGUAUUAUUAUUAUUUGCACAUUACAGACAAUAAAACAGGAUUCAAAAAGUCAGAAAAAGAGAAUGAAGAGUGACUGCUAGUGGGAACAGAGGUUUGGAGUUGCUUUGGAGUGAUAAAAAUGUAAAAUUGAUUGUGGUGAUGGUUGCACAAUUCUGUGAACCUAAGAACUAAAGAUCACUUCAUUCAUUCAUUCAUUCAUUUAUUCAUUUAUUUUAAUUUUUAAAAGUUUAUUUAUUUUUGAGACAGAGACAGUGCACAAGUGGUGGAGGGGCAGAGAGAGAGGGAUACAGAAUGUGAAGCAGGCUCCAGGCUCUGAGCUGUCAGCACAGAGCCCAAUGCGGCGCUCAACCCCAUGAACUGUGAGAUCAUGACCUGAGCUGACGUCGGACGCUUAACCAACUGAGCUACCCAGGCACCCCUAAAGAUCACUUUAAAUGAGAAUGGACAAUGGGAUGUAAGGUGUACCUGAGCAAACUUGGGAGAGAAAUUACAACUUCAUUCUAUAAACAACAACAACAACAAAAAGAAAAUUGGCAGAACUAAAUGACAUAUCGGAUAAAGGGUUAGUAUCCAAAAUCUAUAAAGAACUUAUCAAACUCCACACCCAAAAAACAAAUAAUCCAGUGAAGAGAUGGGCAGAAGACAUGAAUAGACACUUUUCUAAGGAAGACGUCCAGAUGGCCAACAGACACAUGAAAAGAUGCUCAACAUCACUCAUCAUCAAGGAAAUACAAAUCAAAACCACACUGAGAAACCACCUCACACCAGUCAGGGUGGCUAAAAUUAACAACUUUCAGGAAACAACAGAUGCUGGCAAGGAUGUGGAGAAAUGGGAACCCUCUUGCACUUUUGGUGGGAAUGCAAACUGGUGCAGCCACUCUGGAAAACAGUGUGGAGGUUCCUCAAAAUAUUAAAAAUAGAACUACCCUAUGACCCAGCAAUAGCACUACUAGGAAUUUAUCCAAAGGAUACAGGAGUGGUGAUUCAUAGGGGCACAUGUACCUCAGUGUUUAUAGCAGCACUUUCAACAAUAGCCAAAUUAUGAAAAGAGCCUAAAUAUCCAUCAGCUGAUGAAUGGAUAAAGAAGAUGGGUUUAUGUAUACAAUGGAAUACUACUUGGCAAUGAGAAAGAAUGAAAUUAUGCCAUUUGCAGCAACGUGGGUGGAACUGGAGGGUAUUAUGCUAAGUGAUAUAAGUCAGGCAGAGAAAGACAGAUAUCAUGUGUUUUCACUAAUAUGUGGAACUUGAGAAACUUAACAGAAGACCAUGAAGGAAGGGAAGGGGAAAAAAUAUUUACAAACAGAGAGGGAGGAGGCAAACCAUAAGAAACUCUUAAAUACAGAGAACAAAUUGAGGGUUGAUGGGGGGUUGUGGGGGAGAGGGGAAAAUGGGGGAUGGGCAUUGAGGAGGGCACUUGUUGGGAUGAGCACUGGAUGUUAUAUAUAAACGAUGAAUCAUGGGAAUCUACCCCCAAAACCAAGAGCACACUGUAUACACUGUAUGUUAGCCAACUUGACAAUAAAUCAUAUUUUUUAAAAAAUUGGCAGAAAUUAAUAAAAAAUUACCAGUUUCAUUAUCAGGUAAAAGAUCUAGCAAAAGGCUUUCAGUAAUGAGUUACAACUAUCAUUGGAUAACUUUCACUUCUCUAGUGUCUUGUGUAGUUUCAUCUUUACCCCAAUAUCUAGAGAGGUUCUAAGUAUUAGACAAAGUGAUAUUGUGUGUGAUUAUAUUACCAAAGCAAAUGUAAUUUUUUCUGUUACUUAAUUUGGUGAUUAUUUUACUUUUCAAGGCCUCAGUUGGAGAUAUCCCUAAAUCUCUAACAUUUUAUAACAUAAAUAUUAUCCAGAUACAUAUUAUGUUUUCAGUGUUGGAUGAAAAGAAUUUAGAGAUUUCCCCCUGAUUUACUCUCUUUAUUCCUACAUUACAAUGGAAGCUUGGGAGGUAGUUUUAUCAGUUAUCUGCUAUAAUAAUAAUGCUUCAUUAAAAAAAAAUCAUAAAGGGGCGCCUGGGUGGCGCAGUCGGUUAAGCAUCCGACUUCAGCCAGGUCACGAUCUCACGGUCUGUGAGUUCGAGCCCCGCGUCAGGCUCUGGGCUGAUGGCUCAGAGCCUGGAGCCUGCUUCCGAUUCUGUGUCUCCCUCUCUCUCUGUCCCUCCCCCGUUCAUGCUCUGUCUCUCUCUGUCCCAAAAAUAAAUAAACGUUGAAAAAAAAAAAAUCAUAAAAUCACAGAAGCUUACAAGUUUUUACUCACAUACCUGGAGUGGUUGGUUAGGUGAUUGUGCUGAUCUUGGUUAGGCUCAUUUACCUAUUUAGGGGUGGUACACUAAUAAUCUAAAAUGGUCUUGGCUAGGACAAUGUGGGUAUGGUGGCUCUGCUCCACGUGUCUCUCAUUUGCUAACAAGCUAAUACAAUAUUUCAUGCUUUUCCAAGAAUUUUCAAACAACUACCUUAAUUGACUCUCAUAAUGUUUUUGUGUGGUUGAUGGAGCAAAUAUUAUUAUGGUCAUUUGGUGGAUGAAGCAUAAAAGUUAAAACAAUUCACUUAGGACACCCUGCUAUACUGUUAAUGAUGACUAGAACCUGAGCUCAUUGAUAUUACCUGUGCUCCUUCUAGACCAGAUUUUUUUCUUCCUACCAAAUACUAGAAUUCUGUGACUGAAUGAAUUCCAAACUCACCAAAUAAAGUUGAGAUUUCUGGCA